AUUGAACGCUGGCGGCAGGCUUAACACAUGCAAGUCGAGCGGAGUGAUGGUGCUUGCACUAUCACUUAGCGGCGGACGGGUGAGUAAUGCUUAGGAAUCUGCCUAUUAGUGGGGGACAACAUCUCGAAAGGGAUGCUAAUACCGCAUACGUCCUACGGGAGAAAGCAGGGGAUCACUUGUGACCUUGCGCUAAUAGAUGAGCCUAAGUCGGAUUAGCUAGUUGGUGGGGUAAAGGCCUACCAAGGCGACGAUCUGUAGCGGGUCUGAGAGGAUGACCCGCCACACUGGGACUGAGACACGGCACAGACUCCUACGGGAGGUAGCAGUGGGGAAUAUUGGACAAUGGGGGGAACCCUGAUCCAGCCAUGCCGCGUGUGUGAAGAAGGCCUUAUGGUUGUAAAGCACUUUAAGCGAGGAGGAGGCUCUUUUGGUUAAUACCCAAGAUGAGUGGACGUUACUCGCAGAAUAAGCACCGGCUAACUCUGUGCCAGCCGCCGCCGUAA
rnacentral:rRNA from 1 species